rnacentral:lncRNA from 1 species
CCUUGACCUUUCUUAUGUCAAUUAUUAGGACGGUCUGAAAAAAAGACAGUCAUUGUCAUGUGUAUGCUUUUUAAAUUUUUAUUUAUUGUGUGAAUUGCAGAAGACUCGUAUGAUAUUUUAUUGCGUGCACACAAGCCCAGGUACAAGUGGACAUAGAAAUUAUUCAUUCCGCGUGGUAUUUCUCUCUUCUGUCUACUAAUAGAUAUUUUUUUUUCACCUGACCCGGACGUGACGUACGUCAACAACUGGAGGGAGAUAUAUAAAGGUUGGGAUUCCACGGUUAUCUAAUUUGGAUUUAGCCAAACAUAUCAAAACCAUAUAUGCUGUAAGUAUUUAACGUACACAUAGCACCAUAUAGAUAUUGAGAACCUACAAAACAAAUAAAAAACGGGUUCGAAAUGUUCUGACUUAUGUAAUCGCCUAUGUUUCAGUAAGUCGGUCACCAGUGUCAGUGAAGUUGGUUCGUCUAAACGCCGGUAACGGAGUCUAAUAUUUGAGUUACAACUUCAACCAAAUUGUUUUUCAAGUGUUAAAAUUCUGUUAACUUAAUUGCAAACAAAGAGACGUAUAAGUAAAAAAGUUUAGACAAGGAGCUGACAGAAGAGGAUUCCUCAGGAAUCCUACAGUCAGAAGAGGAUCUGUGAGUAUCUGUGAGUAUAAGUGUAAAGCAAAAUAUUGGGUACCACAAGACAAUAUUUCAUAUAUGUAUCAUGAAAUAUUGUCCUCGUCUAUGGAAAAAUGUCAGAGAGGACAAUUGCAUAGUGAAAUUGUGUCUGUAUUAAGACAAUAUUUAUAGAUGAAUACUAUGGAAUUUUGUCUUUUAAAGGGAGGUUAAUUUUGUGUGAAUUAAGACAAUAUUUCAAGAUAAAUACUACAAAAUUGUGUCCUGUUAAAGGGAGGUAUAUUUUGUUAUAUUCGUAGUAUGAAGAUAAUUGCAUAGACAGAUUGUCAUGAAAUUUUGUCUCAUGAAUGGGAAGUUAUCAACAUAUAUUCAUGUAUAUGAUUUGAUGGCCUUAUUAUUGGAACCCCACUUUUUUUGGACAAUCAAUGCAUUUGAAUGGGGACAUAUAGUUGGAACCUAAAACCCCCCCCCCCAUCCACACUUUAUCCUGGGUUGGGAACCCCCCUUUUUAAAAUGGCUGGAUCCGCCCCUGUCUUAGCAGUUUAUUGUUGGAUCUGCUGAUCACCAGAAUAUAAUAUUACAGCGCUAUGUUAUCAAGGUGUCAGACAUAUGUCAGAUAUGUUUUUUUUAAAUCUUAACCAAGAUGCUAUUCCAAAUUCAAAUAAAUUAGUUAAUAGAUUAAGAAUGGAUAAAAAUUGUGCCUUAAUCAUAAUAAUAUCAGGGAAACAUUUGAUGCUCUUUGAAAAAUACAGAGGAGAACAGGGUGAAACUUGCAUAUUUAUACUUUAAAAUUCCAUUAUUAGUUUGGUUCUAAUGAUAAUGUUCAAUUAUCCCCCUUUUUUUUGCUGUGUUGCCAGUGAAAUAUAUUUAUCCAUGAAAUUGAAUUACCCAGAUUGCAUACAUGUAUGUUGGUAUUAAUAUUGAUUAACUCAUAGGGUGUUUGCAUUGGAAAUAAACAUAUUUAUUUUAAAACCAGUUGUUGGCAAUGGCAUGAUAUGGGUUAUGUUCUGAAAUAUUUUAUAAUGGCAUAAUGCUAAACCUGUAACAGGAGGGGGUUGUGCUAUAUUUUCAUAUGUUGAAGACAUACUUAAUCUUUCUUCUUUAAAACUGAGUUAACUGUGCAUAUUAAUUGUUCUGAGGUAGAAUAAUUAGCUAGAGGUAUAGAGGGGAGGGUUGAGAUCUUACAAAAACAUUAUUAACCCAGCUAAUUUAGUGCCUGUCUCAAGUCAAGGCCUCUAGAAUUUGUUAGUCUUGUAUGAUUUUGUAUUUUAUUUUAUUUUAUUGUCUCUGUGACAUAUUCUCCGUUUCCAUUCUCAAUUUUUAUACAUGUACAUGUACAUGUAUGUCAAGUUUAGAAAAGUUGUACAUCAUGUACAUUUUUUACAUGUAAAUAAAUUGAAAAGAGAAUUUGAUGUUAACAAAAUAAGAAGAAAAAACCCUACUUUACAAAUGAGGACGAUUUUUAUUGAUCCUAGCUGGUUGCAUGCUUAUUUUACCUCUGAAAAAAAAUCUAGGUCCAAUGUAAAUGACUCUGUCUGAAAAAAAUCUAGGUUCAAUAUGUACAUGAUAUAAAAUGAAUUACAAUUUAUAUCAGCUCAUGUACAAAUGUGAUUUGUUUUUAUGAUUUUCAGUUUGUUGAAAAUUAGAGUAAAGAGUUAUGCCUGAACCAGAAUUAUUAGGAUAUAAGCCUACAGCUACAGAAGG